rnacentral:rRNA from 1 species
UUUCGCAAUGCCCGAAAGGGUGACGAAGCGACGCCGCGUGCGGGAAGAAGGUCUUCGGGUUGUAAACCGCUGUCGGGAGUUAAGAAAUGUAAGGAUGUUAAUAGCAUCUUUGCUUGACUAAGGCUCCGGAGGAAGCCACGGCUAACUCUGUGCCAGCAGCCGCGGUAAUACAGAGGCGGCAAGCGUUGUUCGGAAUUAUUGGGCGUAAAGAGCACGUAGGCGGCUAUGUAAGUCGGUUGUGAAAGCCUUCUGCUUAACGGAAGAACAGCAGCUGAUACUGCAUGGCUUGAGUGCGGGAGGGGAGAGUGGAACUUCUGGUGGAGCGGUGAAAUGCGUAGAUAUCAGAAGGAACGCCGGCGGCGAAAGCGGCUCUCUGGCCCAUAACUGACGCUGAGUGUGCGAAAGCUAGGGGAGCAAACGGGAUUAGAUACCCCGGUAGUCCUAGCCGUAAACGAUGGGCACUAAGUAGAGGGGUUUU